rnacentral:tRNA from 1 species
GAGGGUAUAGCUCAGUAGUACAGUGAAUGCUUAGCAUGCAGGAGGUCCUGGGUUCAAUCCCCAGUACCUUCA